rnacentral:rRNA from 1 species
GAUGAACGCUGGCGGCGUGCCUAAUACAUGCAAGUCGAGCGAAGCGGGGACGGGUGAGUAACACGUGGAUAACCUCCUAUAUGACUGGGAUAACUUCGGGAAACCGGAGCUAAACCGGAUACUUAUAGAUGGAUCCGCGCUGCAUUAGCUAGUUGGUAAGGUAACGGCUUACCAAGGCAACGAUGCAUAGCCGACCUGAGAGGGUGAUAGUCCAAACGGGAAGUGGGAAACGGGCCAAACUGCUACGGUAGGCAGAGGUAGGGAAUUGUGGGCAGUGGGCGAAAGCCGGACGGGGAAACGCCGCGUAGGUGAGAAGGGGCUGCGGACGUUAAGACUCUGUUAUUAGGGAAGCGGUACCUAAUCAGAAAGCGACGGCUAACUACGUGCCAGCAGCCGCGGUAAUAC